GGUCACAUCACGUUGAAACAUCGGUGCCUCCCGCCCACCCCGUACGAUCACCGAAGUUAAGCAACAUCGAGCCUGGUCAAUACCUAGAUGGGUGACCACUUAAGAAUAUCAGGUGCU